AUGCUGUGGUCGUACCUGAACUUGGGUAGUUUCUUUUGGACCAACGUGGAGGUUGCUUUAUUUAUCCUUUGGUAUAGAAUAAGGUUAUUUAUCUAUACAUUAUUCACUCAAUCUGUUUAUACGCUCUGUAGAAUUGAUGCUUACUUUAGACGCCUGCUUCUCAGCUGCUAUAUUCUUGUCAGCUGUUGGUGGAGAUUGUUCAUUCUCAGCUGCUGCCGAUGCACCUGGGUUCUUAAGUGUAUCACAGAACAGUUCAGGUUCGAAGUAUCAGGAUUUUUCACUUUCCAUGUCUACAUCAGAGCAGCAGCUGGUAUCUUAAUUGCUGCAAAUAAGUAUAGUACGUAG
rnacentral:rRNA from 1 species